CGAGUGGCGAACGGGUGAGUAACGCGUGAGGAACCUGCCUCAAAGAGGGGGACAACAGUUGGAAACGACUGCUAAUACCGCAUAAGCCCACAGCUCGGCAUCGAGCAGAGGGAAAAGGAGUGAUCCGCUUUGAGAUGGCCUCGCGUCCGAUUAGCUAGUUGGUGAGGUAACGGCCCACCAAGGCAACGAUCGGUAGCCGGACUGAGAGGUUGAACGGCCACAUUGGGACUGAGACACGGCCCAGACUCCUACGGGAGGCAGCAGUGGGGAAUAUUGCACAAUGGGGGAAACCCUGAUGCAGCGACGCCGCGUGGAGGAAGAAGGUCUUCGGAUUGUAAACUCCUGUUGUUGAGGAAGAUAAUGACGGUACUCAACAAGGAAGUGACGGCUAACUACGUGCCAGCAGCCGCGGUAAAACGUAGGUCACAAGCGUUGUCCGGAAUUACUGGGUGUAAAGGGAGCGCAGGCGGGAAAGCAAGUUGGAAGUGAAAUCCAUGGGCUCAACCCAUGAACUGCUUUCAAAACUGUUUUUCUUGAGUAGUGCAGAGGUAGGCGGAAUUCCCGGUGUAGCGGUGGAAUGCGUAGAUAUCGGGAGGAACACCAGUGGCGAAGGCGGCCUACUGGGCACCAACUGACGCUGAGGCUCGAAAGUGUGGGUAGCAAACAGGAUUAGAUACCCUGGUAGUCCACACUGUAAACGAUGAUUACUAGGUGUUGGAGGAUUGACCCCUUCAGUGCCGCAGUUAACACAAUAAGUAAUCCACCUGGGGAGUACGACCGCAAGGUUGAAACUCAAAGGAAUUGACGGGGGCCCGCACAAGCAGUGGAGUAUGUGGUUUAAUUCGACGCAACGCGAA
rnacentral:rRNA from 1 species